rnacentral:rRNA from 1 species
AGACCCGAAACCCGGUGAUCUAGCCAUGGGCAGGUUGAAGGUUGGGUAACACUAACUGGAGGACCGAACCGACUAAUGUUGAAAAAUUAGCGGAUGACCUGUGGCUGGGGGUGAAAGGCCAAUCAAACCGGGAGAUAGCUGGUUCUCCCCGAAAGCUAUUUAGGUAGCGCCUCGUGAAUUCAUCUCCGGGGGUAGAGCACUGUUUCGGCUAGGGGGCCAUCCCGGCUUACCAACCCGAUGCAAACUGCGAAUACCGGAGAAUGUUAUCACGGGAGACACACGGCGGGUGCUAACGUCCGUCGUGAAGAGGGAAACAACCCAGACCGCCAGCUAAGGUCCCAAAGUCAUGGUUAAGUGGGAAACGAUGUGGGAAGGCCCAGACAGCCAGGAUGUUGGCUUAGAAGCAGCCAUCAUUUAAAGAAAGCGUAAUAGCU